rnacentral:rRNA from 1 species
UACAGAGGUCCCAAGCGUUGUUCGGAUUUACUGGGCGUAAAGGGUGCGUAGGUGGCGAGGUAAGUUUGAUGUGAAAUCUCCGAGCUCAACUCGGAAAUGGCAUUGAAUACUAUCCCGCUUGAGGGUCGGAGGGGAGACUGGAAUUCUCGGUGUAGCAGUGAAAUGCGUAGAUAUCGAGAGGAACACCCGUGGCGAAGGCGGCUCUCUGGGACGGUACUGACGCUGAGACGCGAAAGCGUGGGGAGCGAACAGG